rnacentral:rRNA from 1 species
CCUACGGGUGGCUGCAGUGAGGAAUAUUGGUCAAUGGGCGGGAGCCUGAACCAGCCAAGCCGCGUGAAGGAAGAAGGCGCCAGGCGUCGUAAACUUCUUUUGUCGGGGAACAAAGGGCGCCACGCGUGGCGUUGUGAGUGUACCCGAAGAAAAAGCAUCGGCUAACUCCGUGCCAGCAGCCGCGGUAAUACGGAGGAUGCGAGCGUUAUCCGGAUUUAUUGGGUUUAAAGGGUGCGUAGGCGGUUUUUUAAGUUAGUGGUUAAACGUCGGGGCUUCACCUUGAUUUGCCAUUAAUACUGUAAGACUGGAGUGGGGACGAGGUAGGCGGAAUGAGUUAAGUAGCGGUGAAAUGCUUAGAUAUAACUUAGAACUCCGAUAGCGAAGGCAGCUUACCAGACUGCGACUGACGCUGAAGCACGAGAGCGUGGGUAGCGAACAGGAUUAGAUACCCCUGUAGUC